rnacentral:rRNA from 1 species
GAUGAACGCUGGCGGCGUGCUUAACACAUGCAAGUCGAACGGAAAGGCCCAAGCUUGCUUGGGUACUCGAGUGGCGAACGGGUGAGUAACACGUGGGUGAUCUGCCCUGCACUUCGGGAUAAGCCUGGGAAACUGGGUCUAAUACCGGAUAGGACCACAUUUUGGAUGGUGUGGUGGAAAGUUUUUCGGUGUGGGAUGAGCUCGCGGCCUAUCAGCUUGUUGGUGGGGUAAUGGCCUACCAAGGCGUCGACGGGUAGCCGGACUGAGAGGGUGUACGGCCACAUUGGGACUGAGAUACGGCCCAGACUCCUACGGGGGGCAGCAGUGGGGAAUAUUGCACAAUGGGCGCAAGCCUGAUGCAGAGACGCCGCGUGGGGGAUGACGGCCUUCGGGUUGUAAACUCCUUUCGCUAGGGACGAAGCGUUUUUGUGACGGUACCUGGAGAAGAAGCACCGGCUAACUACGUG